rnacentral:tRNA from 1 species
GCCGGCAUAGCUCAGUAGGUAGAGCAGCUGAUUUGUAAUCAGAAGGUCGUGGGUUCGAUUCCUAUUGCCGGCACCA